rnacentral:rRNA from 1 species
CAAUAGCGUAUAUUAAAGUUGUUGCAGUUAAAAAGCUCGUAGUUGGAUUUCUGGUUGAAGCGACCGGUCGGGCGUUGAUUCGUCUGCACUGGAGUCGGUUUUGGCCAUCCUCUAGGAAAGUGCGUCUGGUAUUAAGUUGUCGGGCGUAUGAUCCUGGUCUUUUACUGUGAAAAAAUUAGAGUGUUUAAAGCAGGCCUUCGCCUUGAAUACAUUAGCAUGGAAUAAUAAGAUAGGACUUUGGUCUAUUUUGUUGGUUUGCAGACCGAAGUAAUGAUUAAUAGGGAUAGUUGGGGGUAUUUAUAUUCCGAUGUCAGAGGUGAAAUUCUUAGAUUUUCGGAAGAUAAACUUAUGCGAAAGCAUUUACCAAGGAUGUUUUCAUUAAUCAAGAACGAAAGUUAGGGGAUCGAAGAUGAUCAGAUACCGU